CAAACGGUAUGUGAAUCUGCAGGUUCCAGAGGCAAUGAGCCUUGCAGCCAGGUAACAUGGCCAUCUCAGUCACUUCCCUUGAGUGCCAAAAACAUCUAUUCGCCUGCCCUUUAUAACUUAUGUUGACCCGCCUUCCGUUUUCGGUUUGCAGCAUAAAAAAGCCCAAUUAUGUCCGCUACCGGUUCAACACACCGUGUGCCAAGGAUUUCUGCUGCCGAGCAUAAGAAUCUAUCUGAACUCAAGAACCUGCAUACGUUCAAGCAUAAGGCGUUUCCUUUCAAGCAUAAGCUUUCUUCCUCUCCAAACUAAACUGUUUUGUUGAAGAUUCAAUCGUCCUCUAAUUAAUUUGAAUAUAGCAUGUAUAAUUGUUUAUUCAUGUUUUUCCCAGUGUUGGAUAUGCAAGUUCCAAGGUACUAACUGAUUACGAAUUUGAUUGGAAUGAGAUGUGUGCACAAGAGUGAAAGCAUCUAUUUUGUAGGUGGCAAUGAACAUAAUAUUUGAUAAUUGAGACCCAUAAAAUAUCUAGAUUUAUUUCCCUGGUUCUUAGUUGUUACCUUUUGGAUAUUUUGUCUAAGAACAAAAUAGAAUGUGCCAUAGGUUAUGGCUAUGAUAUCAUACUUAGAUCAGUUCAUCAAAUAGCCUUUAGCUGAGUACGUUAUUACUGAGCUAUACCAAAAUAGAUCAAUCUAGCAAGUAGCUUGUAGCCAAGUACAUUAUGUUAUGACUUGAUGUGCUUCCACUUUUGUAGUUUGAGGAGAGAUCUACCCCCUGAUGCAUAUGUGUUUGCAUUAGUGUAAUUGUGUGGUGGUGGCUUACAUAUUUCACUUAGAACUUUUGUGUCAGGUGAAAUUCAAGAUCUGAAUGUUGCAGAGCCUAUGGAGUCUACAAGAACACUUUGCUUCCAUUAUUGCAAGUCAAAAUAGCUUGUUGUGGAUACUGAAG
rnacentral:lncRNA from 1 species